GCUUGUCUCAAAGAUUAAGCCAUGCAUGUCUAAGUAUAAACUAAUUUAUACGGUGAAACUGCGAAUGGCUCAUUAAAUCAGUUAUAGUUUAUUUGAUGGUUGAUUACUACGUGGAUAACCGUGGUAAUUCUAGAGCUAAUACAUGCCUACAAGCCCGACUUCUGGAAGGGUGGUAUUUAUUAGAUAAAAAACCAAUCUGGGCAACCAGUUCUUUGGUGAGUCAUGAUAACUUCACGAAUCGCAUGGCCUCGCGCCGGCGAUAUUUCAUUCAAAUUUCUGCCCUAUCAAUUGGCGAUGGUAGGAUAGAGGCCUACCAUGGUGUUAACGGGUGACGGGGGAUUAGGGUUCGAUUCCGGAGAGGCAGCCUGAGAAACGGCUACCACAUCCAAGGAAGGCAGCAGG
rnacentral:rRNA from 1 species